rnacentral:rRNA from 1 species
GCUUCAUACGGGUAGUACACCUAAAAUUUGGGUUCGUACAUUACCUAUUGUAUGUUAAGCGUAUUACUGGUGGAGUUUAUAUAUUAUAUAUUUUAUAAUAUUUAAUAUAUUUCUCCUAUUAAACCUGAUUCAAUGCUCUUCACCGAGUGUUGUUUUGGGCCAGUACGAUUACUUUGAACAAAUUAGAGUGCUUAAAGCAGGCUCUUAAUGCCUGAAUAUUCUGUGCAUGGAAUAAUGGAAUAAGACCUCUGUUCUAAUUUCAUUGGUUUUUAGAUCAAGAGGUAAUGAUUAAUAGAAGCAGUUGGGGGCAUUAGUAUUACGACGCGAGAGGUGAAAUUCUUGGACCGUCGUAAGACUAACUUAAGCGAAAGCAUUUGCCAAAGAUGUUUUCAUUAAUCAAGAACGAAAGUUAGAGGUUCGAAGGCGAUCAGAUACCGCCCUAGUUCUAACCAUAAACGAUGCCAACCAGCAAUUGGGUGUAGCUACUACUAUGGCUCUCUCAGUCGCUUCCCGG